rnacentral:rRNA from 1 species
GAUUGCCUCAGUAACGGCGAGUGAAGCGGCAACAGCUCAAAUUUGAAAUCUGGCCCCAGGCCCGAGUUGUAAUUUGCAGAGGAUGCUUUUGGCGAGGUGCCUUCCGAGUUCCCUGGAACGGGACGCCAUAGAGGGUGAGAGCCCCGUACGGUUGGACACCAAGUCUUUGUAAAGCUCCUUCGACGAGUCGAGUAGUUUGGGAAUGCUGCUCAAAAUGGGAGGUAUAUUUCUUCUAAAGCUAAAUAUUGGCCAGAGACCGAUAGCGCACAAGUAGAGUGAUCGAAAGAUGAAAAGCACUUUGAAAAGAGGGUUAAACAGCACGUGAAAUUGUUAAAAGGGAAGCGCUUAUGACCAGACUUGCGCCCGGUGAAUCACCCAGCUCUCGCGGCUGGGGCACUUUGCCGGCUCAGGCCAGCAUCAGCUCGCUGUCGGGGACAAAAGUUUCGGGAACGUAGCUCUCUUCGGGGAGUGUUAUAGCCCGUUGCAUAAUACCCUUCGGCGGGCUGAGGUACGCGCUCCGCAAGGAUGCUG